UGCCAGCCGCCGCGGUAAUACUGAGGGUGCAAGCGUUAAUCGGAAUCACUGGGCGUAAAGCGCUCGUAGGUGGCUUUGUAAGUCAGAAGUGAAAGGCGUUGGCUCAACCAAUGUAAGCUUUUGAAACUGUUGAACUUGAGUGCAGGAGAGGUAAGUGGAAUUCCUAGUGUAGAGGUGAAAUUCGUAGAUAUUAGGAGGAACACCAGUGGCGAAGGCGACUUACUGGACUGUAACUGACACUGAGGCACGAAAGCGUGGGGAGCGAGCAGGAUUAGAUA
rnacentral:rRNA from 1 species